rnacentral:rRNA from 1 species
AAAGACUUGACGGUGCUUCACAACAACCUAGAGGAGCCUGUCUUAUAACCGAUACCCCACGAUUAACCCAACCCACCCUAGCCAAUCAGUCUAUAUACCGCCGUCGCCAGCUCACCUUGCAAAAGAACUAAAGUGAGCAAAAUGAAUUUUUCUCCAAUACGACAGGUCGAGGUGUAACCUAUGAGUGGGUAAAAGAUGGGCUACAUUUUCUAACACAGAACACACGAAUCCACUAUGAAACUAGAAACUGAAGGCGGAUUUAGCAGUAUGAUAAGAAUAGAAUGCUCAACUGAAACUAAUGCAAUGAAGUGCGUACACACCGCCCGUCAUCCCUG